rnacentral:rRNA from 1 species
AGUUAUCUGAACCUUCGGGGGACGAUAACGGCGUCGAGCGGCGGACGGGUGAGUAAUGCCUAGGAAAUUGCCCUGAUGUGGGGGAUAACCAUUGGAAACGAUGGCUAAUACCGCAUGAUGCCUACGGGCCAAAGAGGGGGACCUUCGGGCCUCUCGCGUCAGGAUAUGCCUAGGUGGGAUUAGCUAGUUGGUGAGGUAAGGGCUCACCAAGGCGACGAUCCCUAGCUGGUCUGAGAGGAUGAUCAGCCACACUGGAACUGAGACACGGUCCAGACUCCUACGGGAGGCAGCAGUGGGGAAUAUUGCACAAUGGGCGCAAGCCUGAUGCAGCCAUGCCGCGUGUGUGAAGAAGGCCUUCGGGUUGUAAAGUACUUUCAGUCGUGAGGAAGGCGGCGUCGUUAAUAGCGGCGUUGUUUGACGUUAGCGACAGAAGAAGCACCGGCUAACUCCGUGCCAGCAGCCGCGGUAAUACGGAGGGUGCGAGCGUUAAUCGGAAUUACUGGGCGUAAAGCGCAUGCAGGUGGUUUGUUAAGUCAGAUGUGAAAGCCCGGGGCUCAACCUCGGAAUAGCAUUUGAAACUGGCAGACUAGAGUACUGUAGAGGGGGGUAGAAUUUCAGGUGUAGCGGUGAAAUGCGUAGAGAUCUGAAGGAAUACCGGUGGCGAAGGCGGCCCCCUGGACAGAUACUGACACUCAGAUGCGAAAGCGUGGGGAGCAAACAGGAUUAGAUACCCUGGUAGUCCACGCCGUAAACGAUGUCUACUUGGAGGUUGUGGCCUUGAGCCGUGGCUUUCGGAGCUAACGCGUUAAGUAGACCGCCUGGGGAGUACGGUCGCAAGAUUAAAACUCAAAUGAAUUGACGGGGCCCGCACAAGCGGUGGAGCAUGUGGUUUAAUUCGAUGCAACGCGAGAACCUUACCUACUCUUGACAUCCAGAGACUUUCCAGAGAUGGAUUGUGCC